rnacentral:lncRNA from 1 species
AAAAAAAAAGUGUAACUCUAAGUUAUAAGAACUGCAACCAAAAGCAAAAGGCUGACAAUAACUGGCUCACUUUAAGAGAAUGGUUUUGAGUCUUCUUCAUUAAUAUACUUUGGAGACCCACAGUUAUAACUUUAAUGCCCAAAUUUCAAUAGUAUCCAAAAUAAUCUCUGAGCUAGCCUUAGGAUGUUUCUUAGCUAAGCGUUAUUAGUUUGGCUGGCUCACUCUUGGACAGAAAAAAAACAUAUUUAUGGUACUCCAAAUGUAGAAAAACCCAUGGCUUUUAUUUAAUACAUUUACAGUUUCUUGAGAUUACAAAACAUUUCACAGUUUCUAUCUGUAUGUAUAUUUAAAUUUCCUCUAAAUAUCUGAAAUCACACCAUCAGAAUCUAAGUUAGAUGAGAGCAGGAACCCUGACUAUUUCACUCACGUGUGUAGAGCCAAUGUCCCGUCUCCAGAGUAAAGAUUGGAUGGAAUGCAGAAUAUUGAAAUGGAAGGCAGAAUAUUGAAAUGGAAUGCAGAAUAUUGAAAUGGAAUGUAGAAUAUUGAAUGAAUCAAUCAAAGACUUUAACACUUCCAGCUACAGGCAGCUCAUUAUGGCUCAAAGCAGCCAGGCCUCAGAGUUCUUUUUUACAAUGAUUGGACUGUCAUCUCUUCCCACUUGUUUGUUCCAGUUUUAGCUCGUCAGGUCAUGUAGAUUUACUCUACCAUAUAACAAACCUUUAAAUACCUGAACUGAUACUCAUGCCCUACUUUCUCCACCUGACCUCUGAGGUUGACUUAUUUGGAGGUUCAAGAUAAUUGACCACUAAGUCUGGUUCUGGAGAAGUUGGGUUUCCACAUGCCUUACAGUACAAGUGUGGCAAUUCAGGAGGUGAUCUAGAAGCAAGGUGUCCUUGCUCACGGAAGAAUGACAGCGGGAGAGAAGAUCGAAAUCACUGCCCAGGUUAAUAAAGCAAUAUGUGAGAUGACAGUCCAAGUUAGAAACCAGCCAAAGAUUAGAAAUAUUCAGAGUUUUUGUGGUGGCCAGCCUCCAUGAUGGUCCCCAGUGAUCACCCUUCUUGGUAUUCUCAGCCUUGGAUUGUCCACCUCAUGAAAGUCCCUGAGCCAGAGCUACCUAGCCAAUUUACUUCCAGAUUCAGAACCCACAGAUACUGUCUUGGAACGUGCUUCCUUGGGGAUUUCAUGUUCAUAUCAAUGACUGAUUUGGAAUUCGGAUUUGCCUUUGAAUGUUGGAGAGCAUGGAAUCAUGCAAGGAUCAGCAGACAGAUCCUGGGUGGUGAUCCGUGAUGUCCAGCUACACAAAAGAAAUGAAUGUCUUUUUUUCCCAAAAGAUGAUGUAUUACAAGAGUCACUACUAAAUCAGCAUCUACGUCAACCAAAUACAACCUCUAAAAGAAAAACAAAUAGGAUGAUAUUAAUCCUGGAGAGUUUUAUUUUGUUUAUAAUUUGGGAUAAUUAAGCUUUGAAGUUUCAUGUUUACUCUUUGAGGAAAGUGUGUCUGGGCUUUACCUCAUUUCCUCCAACCCUCUCUCCCUCUCUGCUCCAGAGACCCAGUGUUCUUUCAGCAACUUGAAAUGUGUUUUCUCUUCCACAGAGAAUAGCAAAUGCUAUUUCUACAAAUGGGAUUCUACCUCUCCCUCUCCCUCUCUUCCAGUCUCAUGUUCUGUUUCAUUUCCUCAGGGACUGCUGCUUUACGACUCCAUGGACUGGGUUGCACCCCCCAUUGCUCCCUCUGCCUUCUACUCUACUUUCCCAGUAUUCAAGACACUCAGAAUCCUCUUUAAUGCCUGUCUUUUUCUGAUUAUAAGCAACAUAAGAACCUGCCACACUGGUUUUAUUCACCAAUGGAUCUCUAGUGCCUUAUUACACAAUAAAUACUUUUUGACUAAGUAUUGUUUGAGGAAAAUGUUAUUUCCGGCACAGAGAAAAUAAUAGCAGAGGCAU